UCGCCCGGUGGCUCCUAGGACGUCACUCGGCCUCUGUCCCCCUGACGAUCCCCCCUGCAACUCCUGCGGCACGGGCCGGAGACCCCCCUCUCUGGGUGGCAGACACGGCUGGCUGGUGCCGGCUGGUUGGAAGUAGAGGGGACUCCAACCCAAUCAAAACGAAGACUCCAGGGGUGCCACCUGUGCAGGGAGGGCCCUGCCCGCACCCAUGCUGGGCACGAGGGUAGCCUGAGAGAUUCCUGAGCAUGAAGAACACGGAUGUUCCCAUGAAGCCUCCUGCACAUGCGUCAGGGCUGCUGCACCCACUCUUUUACCCGGCAUCUGGUUUUCCUCUCGACUCACUAUUCGAACGUCACCUCCCUUGCCCCACUGUCCGUCCCACUGUUUCUCUGUAAGUAUCUCUUCAGUUCAUAUUGAGAGCAUAUGGUCGGUGUUCCCUAAUGAGAUGUAAGUUCUAGUCAUCUCUAUGCCCCAAAUCCAGCAUGGUAUUAGCGCCAGUAAACAGUUGUGGGUUGGCUGGACUGCAGGCUGAACACAGCUACCAGGAAGGGUGCACCUGAAGAGCUCCUCGGUCUAGGGAGGGGUGAGCACCUCGGUGCCUCUGUUUCCAGUUGACCUUGUCCUUCCCUCACCAACUUCCCUGCUUUGCUCCGCCUCCUCCUCCGGGGCCUCCCUACUGCCUCUUCCAAGAAGCUUUCUUGGUGUGAUUCGAACUCUUCUAAUGCAUGUCUCCCCAAAACAGACUCAACAUAGAGCAUGAUUCCUCUUUAUAUACAUGGAGAGCUAAAUUUUGUUUAGGGAUCAGGGAACUGGUUACCUUGGAUAGUGGACACGAGGAGGCUUCCAAGGGGCUGGCGCUGUUCGUCACCAGUAUGGUGUACUCCUUGGUGUCCGAUCCGAAAAUAAGUUCAGCUGCACACUUAGGCUUUGUGUAGGUACGCAAUACUUCAGAUCAAGAGGCAACACCCUCGCCCUUGGCUGUAAUCAAUUUGUUUGUUUUGAAACAAUUAUUGGUUGUAAUCAAUUUGUUUGUUUUGAAAAUCCCAGUGCCCAGGUCUGACCCCAGAGCCAUGACAUCAGUAUGUGGAAGUGGGAUGCAGCCAUCAGUGUUUUUACAGCCCUCAGGUGGUGCAGCCAAGUUUGGGAGCCAGAGCACCAUAGGACUUUGCCUGGAGGAUCUGAUUCAUUGCCUUCCUUUUAGACCCUUCUCUGUCCAGGAACCGUUUUGUGAGAACUUCCAGAGACCUUGCAGAUUUAAGGGAACUUCAAAAAGUUAACGGAAAGAUGAAAUUACACGAUAUUUGGGGAGUGCGCCUUUGGCCCGGUGACUAAGGCGCUGCUUGGUACCCCUGCACCUGCUAUCAGAGCAUCUGUGUUCAAGGCCUGGCUCUGCUCCUGACUCCAGCGAAGUGCAGGUAGAGGAGGCAUUUUCCCCAGUGGACCCUUGAAGACAUUCUUUGAGCUCGGGGAAACGUCUCCCAUCUGCAGCCCAGGGACAAGUCUGAUUACGGACGCUGGACUGGCUUUGUCACCCACCAAUCAUUGCCCAUCAUGGCUGGGCAGAAACAGUCAGCGAGGACUUUAGAGAGGAAAGCACCAGGGUUCCCUUUGCUCCUGGCCUCUCAAAAACAAACAAACAAACAAACUCAUUUCAAGCAAAAACUUGACCCAGAAGCUUCUGUUGUUAAUCUGUUGCCAUAAUGUGGAUUUUUGUGUAGGGGUGAAUACCUGAUUUCAUCAAGAUUUUCUAAAUAGUACAAAAGCUCUAGUGCCUUUGAGCAAACCCACUUCCAAGUGGCAAUAUGCUUGGUGAUGUCCUUACUCACCAGGGCUCCAGGAGCUAGCUCUGGAUUCUGAGCCCAGCUCUGCCACAUUCACUCCCUGCAUUAUUCUGCACAAGGAACGUGAGCUCUCCAAAUCUGUUUUCUCACCUGUAAAUGGUGGACAAUACAAGCAGCAUUCUCUUAGUGUUUUUUUCCUAAUGAGGAUCGAAUGCCCGGUUUGUGAAGUGAUUAGCUGGGUGCCUGGCACAGGGGAGGAGCUCGAUAAAUUAGCUAUUGUUAUAAUGUUAUAAUAGUCCACAGGUAGACACGCCAACUCACAGACUGAUUCACUGGCCACCUAGAAAAGAAAUCCAAUAACAAUAAUAACAUUAAUUGCAGCUGUCAUAUAUUGACACAUACUAAGUGCUAGACACUGUGCUAAAUGCUUGAUAUGCAAAAUCUAUUGAAUUCAAUCCUUACAACCACUCUAUGAGGCCAAGCAUUAUGGCUUCAAUUUUACAUGUGAUGAGGUUGGAUAGUUCAUGGCAGAGGUUUUCAGACUUGAGCAUACCACCUCUGAAUCCCUUGGAGAAUGAUUUAAAAGCAAGACUGCCUGGUCUUCUCCCACAGUUUCUGAUUGAGUGGGUGUGGCCUAGGGCCUUGUUUGUGUUAAGUUCCCAGGUGCUGCAGCUGCCACGGAAGAUGGGCCACAUUCGAGAACCACUGAUUUAAGUGACUUGUUCAAGGUUAUGCAGUAAGCCACAGACGUUUUCACAUUUAAUAAUUUGAAUACAGUUUAACAAAAUCUACUGUUAACAAAUACUUAUGUUUCUUCAAAUUUCCUACAUUAAAUAGUUGAUUAUUGAGUCCCCAAAGCACAGUGCUUUGGAGAGCUGCUCCUUUGCAGGAAAUGCCCUGUUCCGUGAAGUUCUUCAUGGUUCAACACGGUUUGUGAUCCCCUCGAAGGAAAGGAUUUCAGGAACAUUAUCAGAAGGGGCACAAGUCACCAGCAGUUCUACUGGAGCACAGGAGAAAAUGCAAGGGCUGAGACCCACUCCUGGCUUCAGAAUUCAUCAGGCCUUCCAAGAUGCAGUCCAGCUAAGCAAGCCGCACCUGGGUACCAACUGUGCCCUUGGUAAAACCCAGCUCACCUGGACAGAGAUGACUCAAUGUCCCCACCAUUCAAGUGUGCCCCUUGCAAUCGACCACCCUACGGGCAGCUGAUACACAUUACUGUGCGAGUAAGACCUGGGAUGCACUUUGGCCCAUAUCGCUGGGCUUGGAACUGUAGAGAAUGACUUCAAGAAACACCUGGUGAGAGAUGUGAAUGUAGACAAAGGAUGCAGACACAGAGCCUGGAUAAAGCCCAGAUUCCCUUAGUGGGGAAAGUAAUCAAGCAAAAGGUCACUCAUUGGUAUCUUCCUCAUUCAGCUGCAAAUGAAAAGAACCUGAAUUCAAAUACACAGGAUGCACUUCAGGAAAUGUAAGCACUAAAGGCUUGAAGAAAAUAGAUAAACGAGGGAAACAGGUGGUGCCAUUCUCAGAGGUAGCAACUGGCUGAAGACUGGGAAUUUCUAUAACCGAGAUAUGCAGGAUGGAGGAACAGAAUACACAUUGGAUUUGCCACGGGGAGCCUGGGAUUCCAGUGCUGUCUCUGCAGAUAUCGGGCCAGCUCGUCUUUGAAGAUCCUUUCUCUCCGACAUCCAUGGAUGCUUCUUAUUUAUACAUCCACUCACGGAGUCUUUCAUUCAAUAAAUAGUUACUGAGCACGUUUUACGGACUGGGUCCUAUUGUAGACACAGACCCCCAUCCCCGCUCUCAUGCAGCUUACUUCUAAUGAGAAGAGCAAGACAGUGUACAAAAUCAGAUAUCCAGUAUAUUAGGAAGUGAACAACAUCAAAGAGAAACAGGAAGAUGGAAGUGGCAUUGGGUAGUCAGAGGUAUGGUUGAGAACGGGCCCGUCUCUACCCACAACUACAGCACCAUUCACCAUCAAUACAAACCUUUCGCUGUAUAGGAGGGAACAUUAAGUCCUAAUUGACCUAAGGACAAAGGAGAAAAAUUUUGGCUGCACAUAAACCAAACAUCCAGGAGUUGAUAGUCUAAUGGCAUUGGUGUUUCUCAUCCCAGCACCCACCCCACCGACAUAACUCAGAUUUUCUGACAUAACUCGGAUUUUCACCAGGGCAUUGCUACAACUUGAACAUGACUUGGCUUCCCAGCUCAUUCAGACAUUUAAACCCCAAAGUGGGCCUAACAGGAGGUCUUUCGGUCCCUGGGGUGUGCCCUGGGAAGGUAGUUCUCAUGAGAUGGGUUGGCCCUAGAAGCCCAGUGUGGUGCUCCGUGUCUCGCUGAAGUGUGAUCCACCAUCUACCACCCUCCUCAGACACCAGCCUAAAGGAGCUGCCCUGUGUCAGGCUGUAAACUUCUGGAACUGUGAGCCAAAAUAAACAUUCUUCUUUCAUAAGUAGCUCCUCUCAGGUAUUUUAAAGCGACAAAAAGCUGACUAAUGCAGGUUAUCUAACACUUCCCUAUUUGAUUUAUGUACCUGCCUGGAAAGCAGGCCCCUCCCCCAGCUCCACGGCUUAAGCCAAUCAGCACAUUCCCUUUUCCCCACUGUUCGCAGUGAUUGGUUCUUGAGGAGGCAAGGGUCCAAUGAGUGGAAUUUCAGAAAUCCUGCUGGGGAUCUUUCAUGCAGUGAAACUUGAGGGGAAAAUUGCUACCAGCAAUAAUCUAGAAACCAUGAAAAGGGCUGGCUUAGAGUGGAGUGGGGGAUGGAGAGAGAAAACAAAAGUAAGGGAACCCUAGGCUCUUGAUGAUAGAUAGCCUUGAUCCACAGGAUAAACACACUCCAGUAAACCUGCUCAGCCCUACACUCAACAGUUAAAUGAGUCAAAUGCAAUUCCCUUUAGGACUUUGAACUAUGCGGGCUGGGUUUCUGCUGUUUUGUUUUGAUGUUUUUGAGAGGCAGAGAAAGUGGGAGAGCAGGCAUAUGGGCUCCGCGAGUGAGCUCAUCUGCUGGUUCACUCCCCAAAUGUCGGCAAUGGCUGUGGCUGGGCAAUACUGAGAGGCCAGGGGCCAAUAACACAAUUAGUUGAGUCAUUUCCACUGACUUUAAGGACUGACUGCAUUAGCAGGAAGCUGGAGUUAGGUACUAGAGACCGAGACCGGUUAUCAAACCUACACACUCUGAUGUGGAACACAGGUACCUUAACUGCUAGGCCAAACACGUCCUGGUUUUUGUUGUUUUAAAGGGAAGAUAAAAUAUCUAGUUCAGGCACAGCUAUAUGCGGGUGCAGCCACAUCAAUGAGAUCACAGACCCCCAGUUUGCCUUCUGUGGGGGCUUCACUGUUGGCCUGGCUCUCCCACGAUCAGCAGCAGCAACCACAUUCCUAUUAUCCCUCCAAAAUUUUGCACUCGUCCUGGCUCUGUGGCCCUGGUCCGUGCACUGAACCAAGCACUGAGGUCAGGGCGCAGAGGCGGCCAAUUCUGGGACUGAUGCUCUCACUUGGGACUCGGGCUGCCACCUGCCUCAUCCGGCUCACACUGAGGAAGCCUGUUCUUCAAAUUAAGGACUUGUUACAAGAAACAUGGGGAUGGGUGUUAGACAAUCAGAAAACAUAAAAAUUUAAUAUCUAACUUUCAAUUUUGGAGUCUGAUCUCCCCAUUUAUGAAGUGAAAAAUUUGAAAUAGAGAUAGUCCCCAAUAUUUUUACUACCAAAGACUCUGCUCUGUUGUCUUCCUUGAUUACCCAUUAUGGGAUCCAAAUUAAACUAAAUUUGAAAACAUUUGUCUAUAAUGCAUCAAUGCAUCCACCAUUGUACACAGUUACAGAAUAUCUACUGGCUUGCAGUGUUGUUCUAGCACUGGGAUAAGUUCACUGAGAAAUUUUGGGAGACUGUGAAGCCUUUUGUUCACUGAAAUAUACUGUGGAAAUCUGCUGGUGAUCUUUUUUCUAGGUUAAACGUCUCGAGCUUCGGUAGAAGAAAACUUCACGCUCCUGCUCCCUCUACAGUGCUGGGAUUACUGGUGUAAGGAUGUGAGCUGGAGCAAAAAGUCUGCACCAAGAAGUGAUGCGCACAAGGACAAAGGGACAGCACGCUGAGACUGCUGGAGCGGCACAGACAGAGUGGGACCUGUGAGUAACCAAGCAGUGACCUCAGAGCGCCAGCUGCCCCCUUCCGCUAUGUGAAGACACAACUAAGCGGCCAUGGAUACACCAGAAAGCCGGGUCCUCCCCAGACACCUCAUGUGACAGCACCUUCAUCUUGGACUUCCCAGCUUCUGGAACUGUGAGAACUAAAUUUCCCUAGUUUACAAGCUAACGUCAGAGGCAGCUUCUUUCCCCACCUGCCUUUUUAUCAAUACAAGGACAGGCACACCCCCAGUCCAGAUUCAGUUCUGGAGUGUGCCUGUCCCUAUUCCAGGUUUCUCUGACAUUUGCCUUUUCUGCCCCCGCAUUCGAAGGCUGAGAGUGAAGGACUGGCCAAGAGUCAGCUUCCCAAAGGGAAGGAGAGAAGCAAGCAGCCACUUCACAAGCACUCCCCAAGGAGGCAAGAGGGGUAAAGUCCUCCGGGAAAUCUCCAACACAGAGGAGGAAGACAGAACCCAGAGCUUUAAUAAGUCACAGAGUGGGGCUCUCGAGUGACAGAAGCUAUGUGUCAGUAUUAAAACAUUGGUUUGCUCAGCUUCCUUUCUGAAGGGGAACCUUCACACUAGCUCAAGGAACUGUUUCCUGAGCACCCCUUAAGCCACAAAGGCUGCUGCGUGGAGCCAGGGGUUGAGGGAUUUGCACUGUCUGAUUGCAGCCCAUCACCUUUAAGCCCCGUGUGCGUGUUUUCUUAAUCACUGCCCAGUUUAUGAAUCAUUGUUUCUACUUGCUUUAGAAAUGGUCACUCUCUACUUUUUCUUUCCAGAUUGAACUGUGCUGGCUUUUUAUAUUUCCCUUUGGUGUCUUACCUACUCAAUGAAUGUAAUGCAUGCUAAUUUCAAACAACUGCAAACACAUGAAGUAGAAAUAAAAGCAUUUCUGUUAUCCAUCUUUCAGGAAUAACCAGUUCUUCUCCUAUAUUCUUUCAUGAUGCCAAUGCAGACACACAUCUCUCAGCUUCUUUUUAAGUAACAAAUGCUGUAAUGCUAAACACAUUGUUUUGAAAUAAAUUCAUUUUAUAUUCAAGCUUUAAUUCACCAUUUCAAGCCUGUUCUUGUAUGUAAUCUAUCCAUUCUGUGUUAUUCCAGAUAAUAUUAAGUAUUUUCCCUUAGACUGUCAUUGACAUUGCUUUAAAAUAUUUCACUUUAGUAUAAAGUAAUAAUAAAAGUCUUUGAACACAGAGCUUGCUCAUCCCUUCAGAUCUACCCAGUUUCUCUCCUUCCCUCUGCAAACAUGCAUGCCCGCUGAAGACCAGCAAGGCUUGGCCAAAGGCAAUGCUCUGCUAAAUACUCAACACCAACUCUUAGAAACUGGAAAUCCAAGACCCAUUCAUUCUGUCAUUCACUUUUUCAUCAAGUGUUUACUAUGUUCCUAAGAAGUAGCAAAUAUCUUUCUAAACACCAGUGAAAUACACAAAAAAAGAUCACCUUUAUAGCUGAAUAUUCACUGGGGGAAACAAAAUAAAUACAAGUAAAAAAUACAGAAUUUUAGAGAUAUGAAGAUGAAGCUAUUCAUGGGAAACCAAAGGGGAAGUUUAGGGAGGCAGGAAUGGCAGGCUAAUACCUUUGGGUGGACAGGAAGAAAUAAACAUGGUGCACAAGGAAAAGACAGGUCCUAAGACUGAAGCUCUUUGAGCUCAGGCAAGAGGUGUGAGCUGGACCUGAGAAGCAGCAGAAGCCAUAUCAGGUCAGACUUUACAAGUCACGGGAAGGGCUUGUGUCUUAGUCAGGGCUACGGGAGCCACUGAAGCCAUCUGAACAGAGGGGUGUGGUUUCUGGAGCAGGUGGACAACUGGAGAGCAGGUGUUACUGUGUCCAGGAGGAGGGAGUCUCUGCUCACGAGCAGGGAACUCAAGUGGCUCCAACAAGGCAGGCAGUAGAGCUCUGAGUCUCAGCAGUGAACACCCGAUGAACUCAAAAGGUCAGUCAGCAGCAGCCCCCCAUGGACUAAAACCAGUGGGGUCAAAGAACGAGGAGAUCAAGGCCUUUGACAGAACCGUGCUUGAGCAAGGAGAAGUUCUAAAACCAGGCAGCAUCCCAGGCCACAGAUGGGCUGCAAGCCUCCGCUUUUACAGUCUAGUGAGCUGCUUUCAUAACCAGGAAACCAGGAGAGGGCAUCAGAGCGGGUCUGACGGGCGCUGUCUGCUGUUUGCCUUAAAUGGGCAUGAUCUGGCAGCCUUCAUUGGGAUUGACUGAAGGGUCAGCUGCUAUGAUGGGCGCAGGCUCAGUUGCUCAGCUGCAGAGAACACUUUUAGGUUCGGUUACAGGGCGCUCGGGCCUGACUGCAGUUCACUCCAGGUGGAACUCGUCAUUCAAGUCUGGAGGCUGGUUUAGGCCCAUUUCCUCCACUUCAGCAAGGAGAAGGCAACAGGGGCCAGCCCAGAGCCUACAGCCAAUCCAUCUGAAGGGGAAGAGGCACCCCAGAGAGCUGAGUCAUCAAGGGUCAAAGUCCUGGAGAGAACUCGGUGUAGGAUAUCCACCGAAACACAGCCUUCCUUCUCUGGGCAGCAAAGACCCCUGGGCGUGGCUCCACCCCAUCAACACAUCUCCCUGGGUUUACAGAAACAAACCGAGGCUUCGCAGUGAUCUCUGACCUCUCCAAGGCAGGAAGCAACGUUCAUAAAUCAGAUAUCUGUGUUCUGGAAGGAGAGAGGGUCCGUACCGCAGUUACUGCUUCACAAGUCUUUCUGGAUCAAGCUUUCAUGCUCUUUAUGACCUAGCAUCUGACGUCUGUGCCUCAUGGGCUCAGCUAACGUGGCAUUCCCCCUAGGAACUAGCACCCGGCCUCUGAAAGACUGAUACCAGGAGAGCAGAAGUGUGAGAAUGGCCACACCCUGCAGGAAAGUUUACGAUUUAGCAUUCUGCUUCCAGACACCCGGCCUCCAGAUCUAGUCAUACAAAUGCACAAGGCUGUCCAAGAGGCAUUUGGGAGUGAAUUUUCCAGGUCUUAUCAACACAACACCAAAUCAUAUACAUCUACGUGUGUAAAUGCCGGUAUGUGCAAAAGAAAGUCCGAGAUGUACACCAUUCUGGACAAUGGGAGGAGAAAGAGGGAUUCCUGUUUUACUGUGUAUAGUUUUGUUAGGUUGAAUCAUAUGAAACUGCUAGUUGUUGUAAGCAGAGAAUGCCCCAGAUUUGAAGUUUCAUAUGGUUAAUUCUAGAAAAGAACUGAUUUUUUUUGGGGGGGGGGGGAAGGUGGCAUAAUGAAGUUGCUAAAAUAAUGGGCUCUGGAGAUAGGCAGCGUCAUUGUCAGGGUCAGUUCUGCUGCUUCCUGUUUAACCCUGGGCAAGUUGCUUCACAUCUCCGUGCCUCAUCCACCCCCCCCCCCAUUUGGACUACGUGAAUAACAAUAGUACUUAAUAGUACCUAGCUCAGAGUGCUGAUGAGCGAAUCAAAUGAGUUAUAUGUAAUGUGCUUAUAAAUGUGCCAGUACAAGCCUUCCAGUCAUGAUAGCCAUUAAUUUUUCAAUGCACCUGUUACUUCAUUUGAAAUAAUAAUAUAUAUUUUUCGGGGCCAGUGCUGUGGCUCACUUGGUUAAUCCUCUGCCUGUGGCGCCGGCAUCCCAUAUGGGCGCCGGGUUCUAGUCCCGGUUGCUCCUCUUCCAGGCCAGCUCUCUGCUGUGGCCCGGGAAGGGCAGUGGAGGAUGGCCCAAGUGCUUGGGCUCCUGCACCCACAUGGGAGACCAGGAGGAAGCACCUGGCUCCUGGCUUCAGAUUGGCCCAGCUGCCCGUGUGGCAGCAUUUGGGGAGUGAACCAAUGGAAGGAAGACCUUUCUCUCAGUCUCUCUCUCACUAACUCUACCUGUCAAAUAAAUAAAUAAAUACAUGUUUUUAAAAAAGAAGUUGUUGUCUAAAUUAUCCUUGAAAAACUCUUCCCUUCUAGCUACGAGACAAAAUUCCAAGUGGCUCCUCUUUGGUAGUUUCCUAUCAUCUAGGAAAUGUGCCUUCAACUCUUGGCAGUUCUUGGUGACAGCACGAUGCUCAGUGCCAAGCAGCAUUACUGCCUGAAGGAGUCCCAUGUCCUGAAUUUUCUCAGGUGAGCUCUCUUCCCCAUUGCUUUUUUUUUUUUUUUUUCAAACAUGGCAUCUUUCUGCUCUUUUAAUUGUGUCACUAAUAUAUUUGUAAACUCAUUCAUCCCACUUCAUCCCCCCCCCCCCCAUUUGCUUUCUUUAUGCACUGCUCUAAAUAUAACCACGGAAACAAAACAAUGCAGUUUCACAAACAAAGGAGACUCUGCAGGGUAAGCAGAACCCUCCCUAGGUCUUGAGUCAACUGCUCUUGCUUGCCUUCAUGUUUUAUAAAACAGCCCAUGGCGCUCACAACAGAAAGGGAGGGAACCCUGAUUAAAUGGUAUGCAUUACUUUAAAAGGGAAUUAAAAGCAAUGCAAAGAUCUGCACUACACUACAUCAGGCAAGGAUACGCAAGCAGAGUUGCCUGGGUGGUUUCCAGUGUGAACACACAGUUUCUGAAUCCCAGUGACUCGCUGGCUUAAGAAAGGCCGGCUCCCCUGGAUAAAGGGCUCAGCAAUUAGAGGGUCAUCGCCCUUUUCCUCUGGAUCAAAGAACAGGACUAUGUUUUAAGGGUUGGGAUGAAAAGGUAAUUUAGGGUAUUUGGAAAUUGAUAAAGAUGGUUGAAGCACUGCAAUUUUAGGUGGUUUUCUUUGAAAUCACUGAAAGAAAACAAAACCAAUAUAAAUAUUUAUAUAAAUUAAUAUUUGUCUGAGGCAUAAAUUUACCACGUGAAAAAGGCAGCCAGAGCCUUAUUCAUGGUCUUAUAUUCUGUGUGUGUGUGUGUGUGUGUGUGUGUACACACAAGUUUGUAAAAAACACAAGCAAAUUGAGGCCAGUGAUAUGGAGUAGUGGGUAAAAGCUGCUGCCUGAAGUGCCGGCAUCCCACAUGGGCACCAGUUCAAGUCCCAGCUGCUCCACUUCUGAUCCAGCUCUCUGCUGUGGCCUGGGAAAGCAGUAGAAGAUGGCCCAAGCCCUUGGGCCCCUGCACCCACGUGGGAGACCCGGAAGAAGCUCCUGGCUCCUGGCUUUGGAUCGGUGCAGCUCUGACCAUUGCAGCCAACUAGGGAGUAAACCAGUGGAUGGAAGACCUCUCUCGCUCUCUCUCUCUCUUUGCUUCUCCUUCUCUUUCUGUGUAACUCUUUCAAAUAAAUAAAUAAAUCUUUAAAAAACCACAAGAAAAUUAAUAUCAUUUCAGCUUCUGGAAAUUCUAUAGAGGAAAUAAUUUUGGUGGGAUGGUGCGAUAGGGGCUAACUUGAGGUCAGUGAUGUUCUCUCUAGAAGGUGACAUUUGAGUUGGAGCCUGAAGGUUGAGCCAGGGGGAGGAGCACUGUAGGCAGAGGGUGACCAACUUGCCAAAUCCCCGUGCUGUCAAAGGGCUCGUGACGGAGAAACAGGAAGGAGCACAGCGGCUCACGCAGGCUGUUGCAUAACUCGCCCUGAGCUUACUGAGCCUCAGAACCAGAGUGGAAUUUGUAAAGAUAACCGUGGCCCCAAGAGAGAAAUCACUUGCCUUGUAUCAACCAAAUCGUGGGUAGGAAAGGCAUGGGGAGAACCCAAACCACCUAAAUUGUAGGCUGUAUGUUUUCAGAAUUUCAUAGAUUGUACACCAGCUACUUGUUUUCGGUGUGGCUGUGUUACUCUGCUGGAUCAGCUUUUGGGUCACUUGGGGUUCAAGAUUUGACCCCAACUCAACCACUUUUGAUCUGCAAUUUGCUCCUUAAUUGUCCUGAACCUCGUCUAUGACAUCUCCUGGGAGAGCUGUACGAGGUCCUUAGGCCAGGUUUAGCUCAGUUCCUGGCACAGAGCAAAAAUACCAAAUGUUAACUGUCCUCACAGUUAUUAUCAUUAUGAUUUUGUCAAUACUCUCUCUGCCUCAACAUUAAUAGUUUCUUUUCUGGAAGACUGUAUUGUACAUCAUUUUACACUCCGUCUACCAAUGUGGAAGGGGAUAUAUAGCAUAAAAAUGGCUUUGUGGUCCAAAUAUUUGCUUAUUUAUCACAGAGCCAAUGAUUAAUCAGCUACUGGGUGAGAUUUGGAGAAAACAAAAAACAAUUAAGAGAACUGAAUAAUGAGUUCUGCCGUGUUCAGGGUCAGCGGCAGGGGCAUUGAGUCUUGGACUCCUGACUUGCUCUGUGACCCUCAGCGAGGUCCUGCACCUCUGGGAGGCUCAGGAGUCACAUCUGCACAACGGGGACAGCAGCCCGCACUGUGCUGCUUGGAUGGACAGUAAACGGCUAGAUGUCUGGGUGCACGGCCUCCGGCAUCUGGAACGCAGGAACAGCUCCCGACCGCCAGCUCAGAUCGGCCUCCGCGGAAAAGCUGCAGGCACUGGAGGCGGUGGAAACCAUCUGCAGAGGUUCACUGUGAGUCAAGCAGACUGGGAGUGCCGCUUCCCACCUUCCCUGCCCUCUGCAGCAAAGACCUCAGAGGGAUUCUGGGGCUCCUUCUGAAAGAAUGAUAGGAAUUCUCUCAAUGGGCAGUCAGAGAGGCACUCCAGACAGCAAAACCAGCCUUGCCAGGCCACCGAAGCCUGCAACAGGACAGCUUCCUGGGGCAACGCUAAGAAGUCUGGGACAGCUGUUCCGUGCAUGGGAGGACAGGGCAAGGACUGAGAAGCCAGGCAGAAAAGGUCACCACUGCUGCCUGGAGAGUGUGUGCUCCUGGAGCUCUCGGUCCGCAGCCCUUCUGCAGCAGCAUCUGGUUCUCCAGCCAAGAUUUCCAAUCCUGAGCAAACAAUGUUGCUUUUCUUCCCAACAGUUGGGAUGGAAGCAAAAAACAUUGCACCAAAAGCUCAAUCUACGAAAGAUCUUGUGGCUGUGGGUUGUUAAAUGCCAAAGCCCCAUAUGAGGUUACAUUUCCACACAGAUCCCGGGAGCCCCAGCAUUGGCCAGACUCCCCAUCUCCAACGGUAACGCGGGGACUUUCAAGAGCGUUCAGCAACACUUGAUGACUGAAACGCCACAUUGAGAAAAUCCCAUGAAAAUAAAACUGGGUUCACAGCCAAAGCAGAAGGCAUAGGAUGCUCUUGGGAAGUAAACUGCAGGAAGCUUAUCCUCAGCUACAGAGGGAGAGGUCAUCAGGCUUCCCGCGACUACCCAGGCACGUCAGGAUACAGUCGGAGAAAAACCCCUCCCCGACGGGUGGCAGACGGGGACUAACAUAUCUUCGUCAUGACACAGCAGCCACUUGGCUGACACCACCAAAGAUCCGUAUACAACAACCAUCUUAAAUUUAAUGAUCUAAUUUAAGGGCUGACAAACAUACUGUUUAUCCAAGGGGUUAGGAAUGGCCCUCCCUCUUCCUGUACCAAAGUAAUUACUCCCCCAACUUGAAGCAAUCGUAGUGAAAGCACUUUUUGUGUCUCCAAUCCUUCAGUUGAACCCUCAGGCUAAGAGGUCUUUUUUUUUUUUUUUUUUUUUGUAAGGCAUUGUUCAUGCACAGUGGCAUAGAAUUUCAUUUGCCGGUUUCAAGUAUUAAGAGCACAACACAAAAUCUAAGCAAUUUUAGACAUGUGUCAAUCUCAAAUAAAAAAGGCUUUGUGCUGGCACAGGAUGUCAAUGCUUGAAUUAAAGAGUAGAGAAUUUCCCUGAGCGAGAGCUGUACAUGCUGACAUGAUACAUUGUUCAGGCUCUGUGUUACGAUACAGCCAAUAUGUUUUAAUAAUUUAUUGGUAUUUAUUUAACACACAAUGCUGUCAUACCAAAUCUAAACCAAGAGGUCUCGGUUCCUCAUUGAUUCCUGUACACGGUUCUUAUCAGCAUCAUUAGAUGCUUCCUUAGAAAAUGCUUGUGUGUGAUAACAGAAGUGUAUUUCGGAAACUUCG